ACUAUGAGUAAUAGUCAUUUAAAAAAAAUAGAAGAAGAUUAUAAAAUAAUUUUACAGGAAAAAACCAUAAUUGAAGAUGCUGCCAUAAAGAUUCAAACAGAAUUAAAAAAGUCAGUAGAUAAAAUAAAAAACUUAGAAUCAUAUAUUCAAACAUUAUCUAUUGAAAUUAGUAAUAUAAAAACACAAAGAGAUGAUUCUUUAGAUGCAAUGACUAAGUUAGCUAUUGAUAAAACACAAUAUGAAAAUGAGUUAAUUGCAAGUAAAAGUAUUAUACAUGAUUUAAAAAUAAAAUUAAAUGAAUAUGAAAAUAAUAUAUUAUUUGUUCAGAACAAUAUGAGCGAAAUGAAUAAAAUGAGUAUGCAAAAAGAUCAAAAAGAAAUACUGUUAAAAAAUGAAAUAAAAACAUUAAGGGAAAAUUUAAAUGAGAAAUCAAUUAAGUUAGAACUGUUACAAGAAAAAGAAAAUAAAUAUGAACAUAAUACAGUUGCUUAUAAUCAAUUUCAUUUGGAGGUUCAACAAAAAUAUAAUUCCUAUGAAAAGGUUAUAGCUAAAUUAAAAAACGAAAUAGAAGAGUUAACUAUAAAUAAUAAUGAUAGUAUUAUAAUAAUUGAUAAGCUAAAAAAUGAAUUAAAAGAACAGGAAAAGAUGAAUGGUACAUAUAAUUAUGUAGAUAUGUUAAAAAGUGUUAAGAAUGGGGAUAAGAAAUGGCAACCUAUAUCUACAGGUGGUGGUAAUAAUACCCAAAAUAAUAUAGACAGUUUAUAUGUCACUGGAGAUGUAAAAAAUAAGAAUACAAAAAUUAUAAACAUGAGUCAAAAUAUAGAGAAGCAUAUUCUAGAUAUGAAUAGUAGCAAUAUGACAGAAUGUAUGUUGGAUUAUCGUCAUAAAAAUGUAAAUUAUGAUGAAGAAAAUGAUAAUAGUUAUAAUUAUGGUGGUGAUAGUAACAAUAGUCGUAAUAGUUCUAAUAUUGCCGAAAGUGGAGUAAUCAAAAAAAAAUCUGCAAAAAAUAAAAUUACUGACGAACAUUAUGAUGUGCUAGAUGGUCCAAACGCAUACAUAAGAGAGGAUGAUGGUAGUUUAUAUGAUUAUAAGGAAGACGACUUUUCGAUUUUUAUAAAACAUAAUAAGCAGAAAAGUAAAAAUGUUAAUAAAUAUGUGGACGAAAGUAUGAACAAUUAUCCAGCAGAUGAUACUACGGACAUACAAAAUGGACAAAAUAAAAAAAGUAAGGAUUUAGGUAUAGAUGAUGUAGAAGGUGGUGGAGAAAGCGAAGGAGGCGAAGAAAAUGUAAUGUUAAAUAAUUUAAAUGAACAAAAUACAACUGUUAAUUUUUUUAUAGACGCAAUAAAAAGAGAAGGAAGUAAACAUAACAACAAGAUAACAAAUCAUGAUGUAGUAAAAGAUGGAUUUGAUAAUAAAGAAAAAACAAACGAACGACUUCAAAAUAAGCGACUAGAAGAUUCAGAUAACUCAGUAACGAUGUUAAAAGACAUAAGUUUUGCUACACUAAACGAGAUGAAAAACAAAAGGACUCUUAAUUUGGAUAGCCAUAUGCAUGAUUUGGAUUCAAGCAAAAAUUCUUCAUCUUAUUUAGGAAAUCACGACAUUUCUUUGUUUGAUAGUUCUGUAAUAAAAAAGAUUUUUAAUUUGAGUUGCACUACGAAAAGUAAUAAUGUUAAAGGGUAUGAUGUUAGGGGUGAUGAUAGAGAACGAAACCGCGACAGAAGUAACAAAGGUGAGAAAUAUAUGAGAAAAAAAAGAGGUAGUAGAAAAAACAGUAAAGAAAGUAGAAGCAGCAGUAUUGAUACUAUUAACCCGAAUGCUGUGUAUAAUAACAUAAAUAAAAAGACAAAAGAAUCGAUCAAAAAUAAAAUAAAUGAAUCUUAUGAUGAUCUUAUGUUUGGUUUCAAACCUGAUAUGUAUUAUGAUGAGCAGCGGCAAGAAAAAAGUCAAGAAAAAGAAAAAGAAGAAGAAGAAGAAGAGGAAGAAGAAAAAAAAAAAAAGGAAGAAAAUGGAAUAGGGAAAGGAAUAAACUUAAAAGGAAAAACAAAACCAACAUUAAUACAAAAUUUAAGUUAUAAUACAAAAGAAUCUCCAAAUAGUUUAAAACAUUCUAAAUCUAAAAAAAAACAAAGUGAUAUGAAUAACAUAAAUAAUAUGUAUAAUAUAAAAAAAAAUAAUGAUGACGAAAAAAAAAACAACAUAUUUAAUUUCAUUUCACAAACAAGUUAUGAAGUUAAUAGUAAUGCGGACAGUGUAAUGCUUUCUUCAGUAUGUUCAGAUAUGAGUUAUAAUAUUAGUAUAGACGAAAUUAAUAAUUUGAAAAACAGUCCAAGCAUUAUUCAAAUGAGUAAGAAGAACUUAAAAAAAAGUGGCAUCGAUUAUAACUUACAGCAAAACAGCUUUUUAUACAGUUCUGAAAAUAAUAAGAAUGAUAAUGUUAUGAGUAAAAUGUAUACAAAUUUAAACCACAUGGAUAUUAGCAGCGAACAAAAUCAAGCAUUAAAAAGCAGUAAACGUAACAAUAACAUAAUAGUAUCAGUGAGAGGUGAACUUGAAAAUGAAAAAUCUGAAAAUAGUAUACAUAAUUAUAAAAACGAGGUAAAUAACAAAAAUUGUAAUAUUAGUAAAAAAAAAAAAAAAAAUAAUACUUCCAACACUAACAUUUCAAAUGACAGUACUAUUUCAAAUAAAAACAAAAUAAAACAAGACUUAUACAAUAAAUAUAUGGAUGUAUUAAAAACUUUAAAAAGUGACGAGAUGGAUGCUUCUGUAGAUGAAGGUAGUACUAUUAACAGGACUAUUGAUUUAACAAACGACUUUUCUAAAACACCAGAUAAUUCUCCAUCUGCUUUAUCAUCUUAUAAUCAAACACAAAAAGAUAGUAUGUAUAGUAACUUAUCCAAUUUUCAGUUCAAUGAAGAAAUGCAUGAGUAUAAUUGUGACCCUCUGCU
ensembl:lncRNA